rnacentral:rRNA from 1 species
AUUGAACGCUGGCGGAAUGCUUUACGCAUGCAAGUCGAACGGCAGCACGGACUUCGGUCUGGUGGCGAGUGGCGAACGGGUGAGUAAUGUAUCGGAACGUGCCCAGUCGUGGGGGAUAACGAAGUGAAAAUUACGCUAAUAACGUAUACGAUCUAUGGAUGAAAGCGGGGGAUCGCAAGAACUCGCGCGAUUGGAGCGGCCGAUAUCAGAUUAGGUAGUUGGUGGGGUAAAGGCCCACCAAGCCAACGAUCUGUAGCUGGUCUGAGAGGACGACCAGCCACACUGGAACUGAGACACGUUCCAGACUCCUACGGAAGGCAGCAGUGGGGAAUUUUGGACAAUGGGCGAAAGCCUGAUCCAGCCAUUCCGCGUGCAGGAUGAAGGCCCUCGGGUUGUAAACUGCUUUUGUACAGAACGAAAAGGUUUCUACUAAUACUAGGAGCUCAUGACGGUACUGUAAGAAUAAGCACCGGCUAACUACGUGCCAGCCGCCGCCGUAA